rnacentral:rRNA from 1 species
GAUGAACGCUGGCGGCGUGCCUAAUACAUGCAAGUCGAGCGAAUGGAUUAAGAGCUUGCUCUUAUGAAGUUAGCGGCGGACGGGUGAGUAACACGUGGGUAACCUGCCCAUAAGACUGGGAUAACUCCGGGAAACCGGGGCUAAUACCGGAUAACAUUUUGAACCGCAUGGUUCGAAAUUGAAAGGCGGCUUCGGCUGUCACUUCUGGAUGGACCCGCGUCGCAUUAGCUAGUUGGUGAGGUAACGGCUCACCAAGGCAACGAUGCGUAGCCGACCUGAGAGGGUGAUCGGCCACACUGGGACUGAGACACAGCCCAGACUCCUACGGGAGGCAGCAGUAGGGAAUCUUCCGCAAUGGACGAAAGUCUGACGGAGCAACGCCGCGUGAGCGAUGAAGGCUUUCGGGUCGUAAAACUCUGUUGUUAGGGAAGAACAAGUGCUAGUUGAAUAAGCUGGCACCUUGACGGUACCUAACCAGAAAGCCACGGCUAACUACGUGCCAGCAGCCGCAGUAA